UUAGUCCCUUAGGGAGCUUGGAUGUGUCUAUGGAAUUUACAUGACCUUGCUUUGUACAAGUUGUUCUGGGUUCCCCAGUAUUGUGUACUGUCUUACCCUUCACUGAAGUUACCAUUAUUAAAUGAACAAGAUUUAUGAGUGGUGUGAUAAGGGGUAGAGAGGAAUGGGGAUAGAGGGAGGAACCAAAAAUGAAGCUCAAGUAUUCAGCUGAUUGUCCGGGCAGAUGGUGGUUCCAUUUACUGUGAUAGGGAGUAUAGGAGGAGGAGAUGGGCUUGGAUAAUUUAAGAUAGAAAUCUUAGUUUUAAACUCUUGUCUUUCAAGAGGACGUGGAACAUCAAAAUGGAAUUGAUCAGUAAGGAAUUGGAUAUAUGAGUCUAACACUCAGGAUAGAAAUCUGAGAUGAAAACAAAGAUUUGUGAGCUAUCAACCUAUGGGUGGUGGUUGAAAUCAUGGUGGCUGAGAGUAUAUAGAAAGAAGAGAGGGUAAUCAACAUUUAAGGAAAAGUUAGUGGAUACUCUGGUCAUUUAUCUAUUGGUGUCUCGAUAUUUUUAUUUAUAGAUUUGAAUGUGCUCUUAGUAUAACGCUGAAAGUACUCUUUUUUUCUUUAUCAUUCUUAACUAUUCUUUUUCCCAAUCUAGUAUGUAAACAUUGAAAUUUGGCAGUUACCCCUGUAUGAAAUUUCACUUAUAUAUUUGAAUCCAUUCAUGUUUUCUCCUUUGUAGUGGCUCUUCCUGUCAGCCCUCCUGUUUACACUGUUCAAGGCAACAUUUACAUAAUAAGGCUGGAAGGACUCAAGGAGGUUAAGGGGUAAGAUCUAAUUCACACAGCAAAGUCGCAUUCUGAAAAAUUUGGAGAUACGAAGAGGAAAGUAAUCAGCUGCACAGAUUCCUCCCUGCCCUGCAAAUUCCCUUCUGUAGUUUCAUAUUAAAAAAAAAAAUUUGAUAUAAUAACAUUUGACUGUGCUUCAUGUUGAUGGAAGUACAUUCUUGUUUAUGAAAAAUCCUCUUUUCCUUACCAUGCAUCCAACUCUUAAGUCUUAGGAACCGAGUUUAUGGUGUUUGAACCUGUUUGUGAGUUUCACCGUGGGCAUCUUCACUUGUUCUUUUACUGUGUCCUUACCAGAAUACCAGUGCUAAGAGUUUUGUGUUUCGUCUUUGUUUACAUGGAUUAUAAAUGGGUGAGGUUUAAUUAAAUAAAAAUCUUUAUAAAAAUACUCUUUAGCGUCAGCAGACAUUAGCUAUUGUUAAGUUGAAUAUGACUGGUUUAAGAACAUAUUUCAGCUGUAUCUAUGAUAAAGGCAGUUCUCACUGUCCUUCUGGUUGCCCUUCAUGUUUAACUAGUAUUUUUGUGUCUUUGUGCUUGGGAUUGUUUAGGUAAUAAUCUUUUGUUAUCGCAGAAUCAUUCCUGGCUUUGUUUAUUUUUAUCUUUUCAACUUAUUUAGUAAAGGAAGCCAUUAUAGAAUGUCUUUCUCCGUUAUUUCAGGAAUAGGUUGACAUUCUCUUUGGUAAUUGAGGAGCUAGACAAAUAAAAAUGAGUAAAUACCAAAGGCAUAGAAUUAUGGGAAUUCAGUUAAGAAAAAAAUGGCUUUCCAAAAAUUUAAUAUAAUGUGUUAGCAACCAGAGAGUUUUAGAGGCAAAUAAGGCAUUGGAAACAAGAAACAAAAAAAAAAAAAAAAAAA